CCUGAUCCAGCAAUGCCGCGUGUGUGAAGAAGGCCUUCGGGUUGUAAAGCACUUUUGUCCGGAAAGAAAUCCUUGGCUCUAAUACAGUCGGGGGAUGACGGUACCGGAAGAAUAAGCACCGGCUAACUACGUGCCAGCAGCCGCGGUAAUACGUAGGGUGCAAGCGUUAAUCGGAAUUACUGGGCGUAAAGCGUGCGCAGGCGGUUUGCUAAGACCGAUGUGAAAUCCCCGGGCUCAACCUGGGAACUGCAUUGGUGACUGGCAGGCUAGAGUAUGGCAGAGGGGGGUAGAAUUCCACGUGUAGCAGUGAAAUGCGUAGAGAUGUGGAGGAAUACCGAUGGCGAAGGCAGCCCCUGGGCCAAUACUGACGCUCAUGCACGAAAGCGUGGGGAGCAAACAGGAUUAGAUACCCUGGUAGUCCACGCCCUAAACGAUGUCAACUAGUUGUUGGGGAUUCAUUUCCUUAGUAACGUAGCUAACGCGUGAAGUGACCGCCUGGGGAGUACGGUCGCAAGAUUAAAACUCAAAGGAAUUGACGG
rnacentral:rRNA from 1 species